UACGUAGGGAGCAAGCGUUGUUCGGAUUUACUGGGCGUAAAGGGCGCGUAGGCGGCAAAUUAAGUCAGCUGUGAAAUCUCCGAGCUUAACUCGGAACUGUCAGCUGAUACUGAUCUGCUAGAGUGCGGAAGGGGCAAUCGGAAUUCUUGGUGUAGCGGUGAAAUGCGUAGAUAUCAAGAGGAACACCUGAGGUGAAGACGGGUUGCUGGGCCGACACUGACGCUGAGUGCGCGAAAGCCAGGGGAGCGAACGGG
rnacentral:rRNA from 1 species